GGGUUGUGAGGUUAAGCGACUAAGCGUACACGGUGGAUGCCCUGGCAGUCAGAGGCGAUGAAGGGCGUGCUAAUCUGCGAUAAGCGCCGGUAAGGUGAUAUGAACCGUUAUAACCGGCGAUACCCGAAUGGGGAAACCCAGUGUGACUCGUCACACUAUCAUUAACUGAAUCCAUAGGUUAAUGAGGCGAACCGGGGGAACUGAAACAUCUAAGUACCCCGAGGAAAAGAAAUCAACCGAGAUUCCCCCAGUAGCGGCGAGCGAACGGGGAGGAGCCCAGAGCCUGAAUCAGCAUGUGUGUUAGUGGAAGCGUCUGGAAAGGCGCGCGAUACAGGGUGACAGCCCCGUACACAAAAGCGCAUGUGCUGUGAGCUCGAUGAGUAGGGCGGGACACGUGGUAUCCUGUCUGAAUAUGGGGGGACCAUCCUCCAAGGCUAAAUACUCCUGACUGACCGAUAGUGAACCAGUACCGUGAGGGAAAGGCGAAAAGAACCCCGGCGAGGGGAGUGAAAAAGAACCUGAAACCGUGUACGUACAAGCAGUGGGAGCCCCACCACCAAAGCAUUCUCUGGUGUUGAAGGCCCUGCAAAGCAGCAUCGCGGUGGCGGAGCGUCGUUUGCGACGCCCAACACACAAAACAAGCGGUGAAUGCUUUGGGGU
rnacentral:rRNA from 1 species